UUUAUGUUCUGGACUUCGAUUAUGUAUCUAAUAUCCUACAAGAAAUUGUAUAUUUCACCUUUGCACCAAAAAAAAAAACAUAAUUUGUUGACCAGUGUAAUUAUAUCAGGACAUGUAAUGAAUGAAUAGAUGAGUAUUAUAAUAACAGGAUAUACAGGUAGGUACUUACAUUCUUGAGGAUUUGAUUGAAUAGGUUAACACUUUUGAUAAAAUUAAACUUGCACGCUGAUUUAGUUCAGGAGUGAUUUGUGUUGUUAUUCGGGAGCCGUUUAUAUAGGCCUAAAAAUCACGUCAUUCUAACCAAAUAUGUAAAAAUGCACGCUUGCAAAAAAUAAAAACUAGUUGUCACACGUGGUUUUACCCGCGUCCCGAUGGAUUUAAUUCCCGUACCAGGACAAAAUAUAGCCUAUGUUCAACGCAUUUAGUGUAGCUACCUAAUAGUGAAAGAAUUCGGUUUGAUCGUUUCGGAGCCUAUUCGCGGCAAACAAAAAAAUAAACAAACAAACAAUCAAAUCUUGCCUCUUUAUAAUAUUAGUAGAGAAAUGCUGAGACUGCAGAUGCUGCCAUAUAAAGAUUAUUUGCGAUGGUGCAUACGAGCGUUUAAAUUGUAGCGUUUUCGGUAGCUCAGUCAGGCAGACAAUCGUUUGUAAAUCGCAUAUUAUGUAGAUGUUCUACCAAUUGUAGAAACGAUGUAUAGCAACUUCUACCCACGAUCGACGCAAAACAAGCAGUUUAUAAACUUUUUCCAUGUAUAGGUAGGAAAUAUGUUUAUCAGCAGAAACGCUGCGGUUUGCACGCUCGCGUACAUUAUUUCAACUUCUUACACGUGGAGUACCCAAAUAAGAACUUGAAUCUCACGUUUCUAUAGUAUAUUUAAAAACAAUGUAUAAUUAUGUAUUUAAUUUUAUAAUUUUGAACCUUAAUGACAAGAAAAAACAAAAUGCGAGUAAGUAUAAAACCAGAAUAAAAUCCUGGAGAAAUCACAUUCCCGUUGAAUAUCUCGUUCUACAAUGUCGAACUCCAGUGAUAUUUUCAUCAAUGAUUCAUCAUGCUCCCAAAUACCGGCAGCGCAACAACUACGUCAAAAUGUUUUGAACUACCUAGAGAGGGAAAGACCGUUCCGGUAUGAUGAAAUAAGAUCGAGUCCAUCGUACUCUCCGAUUCCAGCAGCAUCAAGAGAAAGACCCUUUCAAUUCGAAGAAAGACCGAGCAGCAGCGGCCCUGAAAGAGUUCCUAAUAGUAAAAAACGAGGGACCAAAACUUUGUAUUCGUACAUUAAAAAGCCUGCAAAGGGUUUACAAUCGAAAGUAAUACGGAUCCAAAUCUAUGAUGCAGAAGAUUUAAAAAGUUCUAAAUUAUGUGAGUGUAGGGCUAAUGUAUGCGCUCAGCAUAUUGUUGAAAAUGUGUUUAACGAUGAUAUAUACAAGUGCGCAAAAGAUAUGAUAAGUAAAAUUCAAAAGAAACUGUAAAUAAUUCAUAAAUAAACAAUAUUACUGA